rnacentral:lncRNA from 1 species
UCUGUUUCUUUCACAAAUAGUUUCCCUUGCUACUCAGUAAGACUUAUGGGUUCCAGCCUAGAAGCUAUUACACACAAUGUGGUGGUGAUUGUACCCAGAAUGCACCAGACAUGUGAAGGACAAUAGGAUGUCAAGGAUCUCACCAAAGCUCAUGCAUACAUGGAAAAAGAGUUGCAUUGUCAAUCACCAGUAAUGCCACUGGCACUAACGAAAGGCUGCAUGUAACACAGCUCAUUCAUCCUCAAAUAUCCUGAGCUUUCUUCUUCAUCAUCAUCUUGUUCCAGUUCUACCCAGAGUCACUGCCCAAUAGAAUUUUGGCCAACAUUAAAGUACUGGGCAAUGAUCCUGAACAGAGUAAUUGUGGAAGUUGCUGAAAUGCCAGUUGCAUGUUGGGGAUACCC